ensembl:lncRNA
GACCCCUCGAUGGAAUCGUACCAAGUUCAUGCUGGUCGCUAUGUCUGUUGUACAACUGUGUGGAAUCAUUGUCCUGGGUGUACUCUAUGCCUACAAAGACAACAAUCCACAACAGUCAACUUGCGUCAAAGGUCAGAAAACUAAAAUCCGCUGCAUACAUUAUUCAUCUUGAAAAUUAUUUUAGCUAAAGUGAUCAAUAAAUAGUCGCCUCAACACAAAAUGUCAUUUUAGGGAAGCUGUAUAAGGCUGAGUGUACAAGAUGUGAAAAACAGAUAGAGGGGUGCGAGAAAGAUUAGAUAUGAUUUAACAUUUGUGAUAGCUCCAAACACAGAUAGCUCCAAACAGGUUAAUUCAUUGUCAUGGGCAAAACUGGAAGACAAAUAGUGCAGGUGAAUAUUUUUCAUUUUAAUGAAGCUGUGCUAGCUGUGGUAGGUGUGCACCUUUGACAUUUGCAGCAGACCCAACCGAAAUGAAAAGAGGAAGUGAUGUCUCAAUUGGUCAAAAAAACAAGAUAACGAUGUGCUGCUGCUUUCUGAGGUUUUAAUGGUGGUAAACACAAUUGACCGUUCGCAAAACUCCUCCCUAGAACUAGGAAUCCGUCAAACUUUGAGGUCUGAGCAACAUGGUGAAAUGGUGUGCCUAUGUGACUUGUAGAUCUCACACAAGGUACCCUGAAACAUUAGAGGGAGACGCAGGAGAAAAGGUGGAUUAAACAGUGUGGGAGACCCCACUCCCAACUUAAUAUAUCGAAGAUCAACAAAUACACAUAUAUCUGCCCCAAGGUAAAUUAAGCUGCUCACAGCGAACUAACUGAGCUAUCAGGGAACAUCUGAAUGUGCCAAUCACUGACCAUCACUGCCCAAGUCAGAAUUAUCUAUCUGCCAAAAAAUAUCACAUUCCCUUUAUCGGCAGAAUGGCGAAUUAUGCCCACAUAAUGUUAUAAAAUACCUAGGAGUCACACUCACAUUACAACAGAACAGAACCCUGGGUUCCCAGCUAUUGUUGGUGAGUGGGCUGGACUUCCUGCCUACCACUACAUUUAGGAAUUUUAGCAAUAGAAUCAUAUAUGGUAAGUAUAUAGCCACUAAGUAAUAACACACUAGUAAGUAGAAUGUGAACAAAGCAAAUAGCGCGUUGCCUCCACUGAAGAAAUGCUAUAGCAGUGUACCUGGCAGGAAAUAUGGAAAUCCUCAGAUAUAGUUAC